UACGAUGGGGGCUAGCGUUGUUCGGAUUUACUGGGCGUAAAGGGCGCGUAGGCGGAUUUUUAAGUCAGGGGUGAAAUCCCAGGGCUCAACCCUGGAACGGCCUUUGAUACUGGGAAUCUGGAGUUCGGGAGAGGUGAGUGGAAUUCCGAGUGUAGAGGUGAAAUUCGUAGAUAUUCGGAGGAACACCAGAAGCGAAGGCGGCUCACUGGCCCGAUACUGACGCUGAGGCGCGAAAGCGUGGGGAGCAAACAGG
rnacentral:rRNA from 1 species